UUUAAUUUCACUACACGCUCUACAUCCUUUCUAAUUCUAAACUCUAUAUUCCCAAAUUCAAUCUUCUCUCGUAUUUGCAAUAAAAAAAUCCAUCUUCGCUAUCCUCUCACAAUGAAUGAUGAGCUCCUUCAAGCCCCUGCGUAUUUAUCUUCACGCUCUCCUCUCACGGUGAAUGGUGAGAUCCUUCAAGCCAUUGUGUUCCCAUCCAUUGAACUCCUUCAAGCCUUGCGUGGGCAUCCACUGAAUUCCUUCAAGCUCUUGCGUUCUCAUCUGCAACAAAAAACCAGCACCCUCUUACAAGCUAGCUUCUUCAGAUCUGGAACCAUAUCCACUGUGGGGUCAUUGAGUUCGCUUGCCAUUGGUCAAGUACGAACGCGACAGAUCCUUUGCCGCAUCGCCACCACCAGUCACAACAGUCCUGUCGCGGAGAGUCUGUCGUCACGAUGUCGUAGUCAUCAUCCUCACGAAGUCUCUGUCAUCCAACAGUCUCUAAAAUGUGCUUUAGGUGUUAAAGGGAUUAUUUAACCUUGGAGUAUCGUGAGCCUUGAUGUGUUGGCGGGGGAUUGGGUGUUUUUUUUAUUGUUGUUGAGAGCUUUCCUAUUGGAUCACUAUCUCUUAAGUACUUGUAACAUGUUAUGCUUCUCUUAAGUACUAGAACUCCUUGUGUUAUCCAUAAUACACAAUUUCUUAUAAAAAAAACUAGGCCAUGUAAACCUAUUUCCUUUUUUUUCCUUCCCCAUGCCUUUGGAUUAAGUAUGGAUUUAAUGUAGUUUGAGUCCAAUUAUUACUGGUAUGCCAAAAUAUUGACUCAAAUGGUGUGCUAGAUUAAUGGUUAAUGGAAGAAUAUGAAUGUCAAAUGGUCCCAGUUGAGAAGAUCUUAA